rnacentral:rRNA from 1 species
AUUGAACGCUGGCGGCAUGCUUUACACAUGCAAGUCGAGCGGCAGCGCGGGGGUAACCUGCGGCGAGCGGCGAACGGGUGAGGAACCCACUCGGAACGUGCCCCGGAGUGGGGGAGUAACGCCGCGAAAGCGGCGCUAAUACCGCAUAUGCUCUGAGGAGGGAAAGCGGGGGACCUGAGAGGGCCUCGCGCUCUGGGAGCGGCCGAUGUCCGAUUAGCUAGUUGGUGGGGAAUGGCUCACCAAGGCGACGAUCGGUAGCUGGUCUGAGAGGAUGAUCAGCCACAUGGGACUGAGACACGGCCCAGACUCCUACGGGAGGCAGCAGU